GGGGUAAACCUGCGAAACUCGAAUGAACGAACGGAGAGAUUCAUCGUCAUUCCGCGGCGUACCCGUGCGCGUAUCCAGAUGUUCGUCGACUUCGGUCGGCGGGCACUGCGCGUACGUGUCGCGUCCGCGGACGGCGUGCACUUCUCUCUCAGUAACAUAAUACAUCGCGACCCGUUCGAUGUCGGUCUAAGCGCCGUUCGGGAGCCCCGCCGUCCCUUCACGGGGGCGACGGGACCGUCGACGGACGCCGACCGGCCGUCGGACGGUAUAUAUCAAAGACACGCGCACGCGUUUAUAACGCGUCCGGCCCGACGCAAGUCGUCGUCGUGUCCGACGUCACCGCCCGAGUGCGGACGUCGGCGCGGCGCGUCUGUCGUCGCAGCCGUGCAGUCUCGGACCGUGCGCGUCUCGGUCAGCGAUGAUUCAGUUUCGGGCACUCGCAGGACCCGUCUUGAAACACGGACCAAGGAGUCUAGCAUGUAUGCGAGUCAUUGAGAUUAUCAACAAUAAACUGAAAGGCGUAACGAAAGUGAAGGUGUGCGCUUGUCGCGCGCUCAGGGAGGAUGGAGCCUCGAUCUAGGUCGAACUCUCGCACUCCCGAGGCGUCUCGUUUCCAAUCCGUGAAUGCAGGCGCGCUC
rnacentral:rRNA from 2 species